AUGGAAAAACAAUGGCGUUCCUACAUAAAAACUUUGAUGGGUGUUUCAAAAACCUCUAUUAGAAUAGAGCAGAUUAUCAUUGAUUUGUCAAAGAAACACGAACCACAGAUUCUCAUUCCGGCCAGUGACACAGAAGUUCUUUCCCAUGAGGAGCUCCUGCUGGUCACUCAGGUUGUGAGGAUGGACACACAGCAGCCAUGCUCUGAAGCGGCUUACAUGCUGGGGCCUCUGCUCUGCCAAAGGGACAAAGCUGGAAGAAAGCCACAGCCAUGCCAGGAGUGGAGCCAGGGUGUGCAGGACACGGCAGCAGCACCCACAUGUGAUGGGCUGUCUACACACAAGGUGGGUGUGCCCAUGGAGCAGGUCGCAGAGAAACUGUGGGAGAUCACAGACUGCAGAGAUCAUUCUGGCAUUUGGCACUCUAAGGAAAGUAUAAGGCAAUUCUGUCUGAUUAUUUAA
rnacentral:lncRNA from 1 species